GACGAACGCUGGCGGCGUGCUUAACACAUGCAAGUCGAACGGCAGCAUGGAGAGCUUGCUCUCUGAUGGCGAGUGGCGAACGGGUGAGUAAUGCAUCGGAACGUACCGUGUAAUGGGGGAUAACGUAGCGAAAGUUACGCUAAUACCGCAUACGACCUGAGGGUGAAAGCAGGGGAUCGCAAGACCUUGCGUUAUACGAGCGGCCGAUGUCAGAUUAGCUAGUUGGUGGGGUAAAGGCUCACCAAGGCGACGAUCUGUAGCUGGUCUGAGAGGAUGAUCCGCCACACUGGGACUGAGACACGGCCCAGACUCCUACGGGAGGCAGCAGUGGGGAAUUUUGGACAAUGGGGGCAACCCUGAUCCAGCCAUGCCGCGUGAGUGAAGAAGGCCUUCGGGUUGUAAAGCUCUUUCGGCCGGGAAGAAAUCGCACAGGCUAAUACUCUGUGUGGAUGACGGUACCGGCAUAAGAAGCACCGGCUAACUACGUGCCAGCCGCCGCGGUAA
rnacentral:rRNA from 1 species